CCGUGUGCCUACAAGCAGUCGGAGCAGCCAUGCGCUGUGACGGCGUGCCUUUUGUAGAAUGAGCCAGCGAGUUGCGGUUGGCGGCGAGGUUAAGGUUGGAACCGAGCCGCAGUGAAAGCGAGCCUUUAAGAUGGCGAUCAGUCGCCAGCCGCAGACGCGAAGCCGGGUGAUCUAUCCAUGGGCAGGCUGAGGCAGAGGUAAGACUCUGUGGAGGGCCGAACCCACUUCGGUUGAAAACGGAGGGGAUGACCUGUGGAUAGGGGUGAAAGGCCAAUCAAACCCGGAGAUAUCUCGUUCUCCCCGAAAUAGCUUUAGGGCUAGCCUCGAUCGCUUACCGACGGUGGUAGAGCACUGGAUCCGUGCGGGGGCCUCACCGCCUACCAACCGAAACCAAACUCCGAAUGCCGUCGGUCCCGAGAUCGGGAGUCAGAACAUGUGGGCUAAGCCGUGUGUUCGAGAGGGAAACAGCCCAGACCGCCUGCUAAGGUCCCCAAAUCAACGCUGAGUGGCAAAGGAUGUGCGUUUGCCUAGACAACCAGGAUGUUGGCUUAGAAGCAGCCAUGCAUUUAAAGAGUGCGUAACAGCUCACUGGUCAAGUGGACAUGCGCCGACAAUACACGGGGCUAAGCGUUGUACCGAAGCAGCGGACUGUUUUAUCAGUGGUAGGGGAGCUUUCCAUGCCGGGGCGAAGCCGACGGGCGACCGUCGGUGGACUGCAUGGAAGUGAGAAUGCUGGCAUGAGUAACGAGAGAGGGGCGAGAAACCCCUCCGCCGUAAGCCUAAGGGUUCCUGGGCAAGGCUAAUCCUCCCAGGGUCAGUCGGGAGCUAAGGCGAGGCCGACAGGCGUAGCCGAUGCACAACAGGCGGACAUUCCUGUACCACCGCUGAGCGUUUUUACGACGGGGUGACGGAGAAGGGUAGCCGGGCGGGGUUCUGGACGUCCCCGUGAAAGCGCGUAGGCCGCAGGGCAGGCAAAUCCGCCCUGCAUCAAGGCCGAGACGUUAGACGAAGCUUCAUGUGAAGCCGGCGAGCCCAUGCUUCCGAGAAAAACCUCUAAGGAGCGAGGCGGUGCCCGUACCAAAACCGACACAGGUAGGCGGGUAGAGCAUACCAAGGCGAUCGGGAGAACCAUGGUUAAGGAACUCGGCAUACUGACUCCGUAACUUCGGGAGAAGGAGUGCCCCCGACGGUGAUUCCCCUCGCGGGAGGAGCUGUCGGGGGUCGCAGCGAAACGGCCCAAGCGACUGUUUACCAAAAACACAGGACUCUGCAAAGCCGCAAGGCGACGUAUAGGGUCUGACGCCUGCCCGGUGCUGGAAGGUUACGCGGAUGAGUUAGCGCAAGCGAAGCCCUGAAGCCAAGCCCCAGUAAACGGCGGCCGUAACUAUAACGGUCCUAAGGUAGCGAAAUUCCUUGUCGGGUAAGUUCCGACCUGCACGAAUGGCGUAACGACUUGGGCGCUGUCUCAACCAUGGACCCGGUGAAAUUGUAUUAUUCGUGAAGAUGCGAAUUACCUGCGGAAGGACGGAAAGACCCCGUGAACCUUUACUGCAGCUUGGCAUUGGCUGUUGGUGCGGUGCGUAGAGGAUAGGCAGGAGCCUGCGAACCGGGAACGCCAGUUCCCGGGGAGGCGCCCUUGGAAUACUGCCCUCACCGCAUCGGCAGCCUAACGCGCCGCCCUCAUCGGGGGCGCGGACCGUGCCAGGUGGGUAGUUUGACUGGGGCGGUCGCCUCCUAAACUGUAACGGAGGCGUGCGAAGGUUCGCUCAGGGCGGUUGGCAAUCGCCCGCAGAGCACAAGAGUACAAGCGAGCCUGACUGCGAGACCAACAAGUCGAGCAGAGACGAAAGUCGGUUCUAGUGAUCCGGCGGCCCAGCGUGGAAUGGCCGU
rnacentral:rRNA from 1 species